rnacentral:rRNA from 1 species
AGCGAACGCUGGCGGCAGGCCUAACACAUGCAAGUCGAACGGAUCCUUCGGGAUUAGUGGCGGACGGGUGAGUAACACGUGGGAACGUGCCCUUUGGUUCGGAACAACUCAGGGAAACUUGAGCUAAUACCGGAUGUGCCCUUCGGGGGAAAGAUUUAUCGCCAUUGGAGCGGCCCGCGUCUGAUUAGCUAGUUGGUGAGGUAAAGGCUCACCAAGGCGACGAUCAGUAGCUGGUCUGAGAGGAUGAUCAGCCACAUUGGGACUGAGACGCGGCCCAAACUCCUACGGGAGGCAGCAGUGGGGAAUCUUGCGCAAUGGGCGAAAGCCUGACGCAGCCAUGCCGCGUGAAUGAUGAAGGUCUUAGGAUUGUAAAAUUCUUUCACCGGGGACGAUAAUGACGGUACCCGGAGAAGGAGCCCCGGCUAACUUCGUGCCAGCCGCCGCAGUAAGAC